UACGAAGGAUCCAAGCGUUAUCCGGAUUCAUUGGGUUUAAAGGGUGCGUAGGCGGCCUGGUAAGUCAGUGGUGAAAUCUCUCGGCCCAACCGAGAAACUGCCAUUGAUACUGUCGGGCUAGAGUACAGAUGACGUUGGUGGAAUGUGUCAUGUAGCGGUGAAAUGCAUAGAUAUGACACAGAACACCGAUUGCGAAGGCAGCUGACGAAACUGUAACUGACGCUGAUGCACGAAAGUGCGGGGAUCAAACAGG
rnacentral:rRNA from 1 species